rnacentral:sRNA from 1 species
ACUCUCGGGAGGCUGAGACAGGAGGAUCGCUUGAGUCUCGGAGUUCUGGGCUGCUGUGCACUAAACUACACUAUGUUUGGCAUCAAUAUGGAAACCUCCCGGGAGCGGAGAGACCAGCAGGUUGCCUAAGGAGGGGUGAGCUGGCCCAGGUCGGAAACGGAGCAGGUAACAUCUCCCGUGCUGAUUAGAAAAUUGAAAUGAAAAUUUGGGGUUCAAGGGAAGUAAAACUCAAAU